rnacentral:rRNA from 1 species
CUCAGGACGAACGCNGGCGGCGUGCUUAACACAUGCAAGNGGAGCGANGAACCGGGGCUUGCCCCGGGGCAGAGCCGCGAACGGGUGAGUAACACGUGGGUAACCCACCCCGAUGAUUGGGACAACCCGGGGAAACUCGGGCUAAUACCAAAUGUGCUCGUAGACCAUGAGGUCCAUGAGUAAAGAUAGCUUCGGCCUUCGCAUCGGGACGGGCCCGCGGCCCAUUAGCUUGUUGGUGAGGUAACGGCUCACCAAGGCGACGAUGGGUAGCUGGUCUGAGAGGACGAUCAGCCACACUGGGACUGAGACACGGCCCAGACUCCUACGGGAGGCAGCAGUGGGGAAUCUUGCGCAAUGCGCGAAAGCGUGACGCAGCAACGCCGCGUGGAGGAAGACGGUCUUCGGAUUAUAAACUCCUUUCAGUUGGGACGAAGCUCAGCGGGUUAAUAGCUCGAUGGAGUGACGGUACCUUCAGAAGAAGCCCCGGCUAACUACGUGCCAGCCGCCGCGGUAAUAC